rnacentral:tRNA from 1 species
UAGGCAGAGGUCCGUUGGAUUUAGGGCACCUAGCUGUUAACUAGGGUUGUCGUGGGAUCGAAGCCCACCUGCCUAG